UGGCCCAUCGGGGCCUCGGAUACCUGCUUUUAUUAUU
rnacentral:ncRNA from 4 species